rnacentral:rRNA from 1 species
GAGCGGUAUUGUUUCUUCGGAAAUGAGAGAGCGGCGUACGGGUGCGGAACACGUGUGCAACCUGCCUUUAUCUGGGGGAUAGCCUUUCGAAAGGAAGAUUAAUACUCCAUAAUAUAUUGAAUGGCAUCGUUUAAUAUUGAAAGCUCCGGCGGAUAGAGAUGGGCACGCGCAAGAUUAGCUAGUUGGUGAGGUAACGGCUCACCAAGGCAAUGAUCUUUAGGGGGCCUGAGAGGGUGAUCCCCCACACUGGUACUGAGACACGGACCAGACUCCUACGGGAGGCAGCAGUGAGGAAUAUUGGUCAAUGGGUGCAAGCCUGAACCAGCCAUCCCGCGUGAAGGACGACUGCCCUAUGGGUUGUAAACUUCUUUUGUAUAGGGAUAAACCUACCCUCGUGAGGGUAGCUGAAGGUACUAUACGAAUAAGCACCGGCUAACUCCGUGCCAGCAGCCGCGGUAAUACGGAGGGUGCAAGCGUUAUCCGGAUUUAUUGGGUUUAAAGGGUCCGUAGGCGGACUUAUAAGUCAGUGGUGAAAGCCUGUCGCUUAACGAUAGAACUGCCAUUGAUACUGUAAGUCUUGAGUAUAUUUGAGGUAGCUGGAAUAAGUAGUGUAGCGGUGAAAUGCAUAGAUAUUACUUAGAACACCA